GCGGCUGUAGUCUAGCCUGGUAGGACUCGAGCUUGCCAAGCUCGCGAGCCGGGUUCAAAUCCCGGCGGCCGCA
rnacentral:tRNA from 2 species